CAAAAUGGAAAAAGAAGGAAAAGAAAAUUGGGCGUUGGGGGUUGAACCUAUAACCUUGGGGUCAUGGGUCAACCCUUUUACCACUGAGCCAAGCACCCUUGGUUGUUAACUAGCGUGCCCCAUAAAAUAAAUAAUUAAUGGGCCAAAGUUGGCCCUUUGAUUAAGUCACUUAAAUAAAGUAAAACAAAUGAAUGGUCUGAUCAUGGAACACACAUGCACGUGCAUUGCCCUGGGAUACACACACACAUGCC
rnacentral:lncRNA from 1 species